UAUGAAGAGUUUGAUCCUGGCUCAGAACGAACGCUGGUGGCGUGUCUGAUGCAUGCAAGUCGAGCGAGUCGUGUAGCAAUACAUAGGCGAGCGGCGAACGGGUGAGUAACGCGUGAAUAACCUACCCUUCAAUUGGGAACAACCGUGCUAACGCGCGGCUAAUGCCGAAUAUACCGGUUAAGCGACAUCGCUUAUUGGGGAAAGAUUAAUUGUUGGAGGAUGGAUUCGCGUCCGAUUAGGUAGUUGGCGGAGUAACGGCCCACCAAGCCUACGAUCGGUAGCCGGCCUGAGAGGGCGAACGGCCACAUUGGGACUGAGAUACGGUCCAGACUCCUACGGGAGGCAGCAGUGGGGAAUAUUGCGCAAUGGGGGCAACCCUGACGCAGCGACGCCACGUGUGGGAUGACGCAUUUAGGUGUGUAAACCACUGUCGUGAGGGAAUAGAGGCGGACUUCGGUUCGCAGGAAUGUACCUCGAAAGGAAGCACCGGCAAACUUCGUGCCAGCAGCCGCGGUAAUACGAGGGGUGCGAGCGUUGUUCGGAAUCACUGGGCGUAAAGGGAGCGUAGGCGGACUUUCAAGCCGGGCGUGCAAAACCGAAGCCCAACUUCGGCAUUGCGCUCGGGACUGAUAGUCUUGGAUAGUUCAGAGGCAAGCGGAAUUCCUAGUGGAGCGGUGGAAUGCGUAGAUAUUAGGAAGAACACCGGAGGCGAAGGCGGCUUGCUGGGGACGAAUCGACGCUGCAGCUCGAAAGCGCGGGUAGCAAACAGGAUUAGAUACCCUGGUAGUCCGCGCCGUAAACGAUGUAUGCUUGGCGCACGAGGUUCAAAUCUUGUGUGCCGUAGCCAACGCGAUAAGCAUACCGCCUGGGGAGUACGCCCGCAAGGGUGAAACUCAAAGGAAUUGACGGGGGCCCGCACAAGCGGUGGAGCAUGUGGUUUAAUUCGACGCAACGCGCAGAACCUUACCAAGGUUUGACAUGGGAAAGACGAUAUCAGAGAUGGUAUUUCCAUAGCAAUAUGGCUUUCUACACAGGUGCUGCAUGGCUGUCGUCAGCUCGUGUCGUGAGAUGUUGGGUUAAGUCCCGCAACGAGCGCAACCCGUGCCCUCGGUUGCCAAUAUGGCUCUCCGGGGGGACUGCCGGGGACAACCCGGAGGAAGGUGGGGAUGACGUCAAGUCAUCAUGGCCCUUACGACCAGGGCUACACACGUGCUACAAUGGGCGGCACAGAGGGAAGCAAAAUCGCGAGAUUGAGCGGAUCCUAAAAGCCGCCCCCAGUUCGGAUAGGAGUCUGCAACCCGACUCCUUGAAGCCGGAAUCGCUAGUAAUCGCGGAUCAGAACGCCGCGGUGAAUACGUUCCCGGGCCUUGUACACACCGCCCGUCAAGCCAUGGGAGAAGAGAGCGCUCCAAGACGUGCAGCUAACCGGUAACGGAGCGGGCGUCCAAAGCGAGAUUUUUGACUGGGGCUAAGUCGUAACAAGGUAGCCGUACCGGAAGGUGCGGCUGGAUUACCUCCUUU
rnacentral:rRNA from 1 species